AGUGGGUUAGAGUUUGGCUGCUAACCAAAAGGUUGGUAGUUUGAAUCUACCAGCUGCUC
rfam:Loxodonta africana unplaced genomic scaffold scaffold_14, whole genome shotgun sequence.